rnacentral:tRNA from 1 species
GGAGAGAUGGCAGAGUCCGGUUGAAUGCACCUGACUUGAAAUCAGGCGUGGGUUUGCGCCCACCGGGGGUUCGAAUCCCUCUCUCUCCGCCA